AUACGGAGGGUGCAAGCGUUAAUCGGAAUUACUGGGCGUAAAGCGUACGUAGGCGGUUCGUUAAGUUAGAUGUGUAAGCCCCGGGCUUAACCUGGGAACUGCAUUUAAAACUGGCGGACUAGAGUUGAGUAGAGGGGAGUGGAAUUUCAGGUGUAGCGGUGAAAUGCGUAGAGAUCUGAAGGAACACCAGUGGCGAAGGCGACUCCCUGGACUCGAACUGACGCUGAGGUACGAAAGCGUGGGUAGCAAACGGGAUUAGAAACCCUAGUAGUCC
rnacentral:rRNA from 1 species